UUCUAUGGGCGGGCCUUGGCGGGGGAGCCUCACGGCUCUCCGGUUCUUGGUAUCGCGCACCGGUCUGCGAACCCCGGCAAUGUGCCCGCUCACCCUG
rnacentral:antisense_RNA from 1 species